UGGCAGACUACCUGAAGAUCUGGGAUUGGGAAGCCAGCAAGGGAAGGAAAGGGCCCUGAACAGAAUCUGAUAUGAUCUAUCAGUGCAGUAGAGUCCAGAGUGGAUUCAAGUUCUGAGUCCCUGGAGGUACAGUGGAGGGGUUGGUGCUAUUGCACUUCAUACCACCAGUUCUCCUGGGUGGGGGUCACGUGACAAAGCAUGUGACCCAAGCCCAGCCAAUUGCAGAUCUCCUUUGCAGAACCUGGGGUACUGGGAGUACCGGGCAGAGGCUUUUGCUCAUGUUCUCAAGGCUCAGAGUGUGCCUGCCUUCGGCGUUAUCGCCACAGCUGUCUACCACUUGGAGAGGAUGCUGGAAGCAGACAAAUCUGCUUUCUUGUGGUGGUGAAGGGAAGAAGAGAGAUGGUCCAUUCGCUUGUGUGGGAAUGCUGGAGUCUCAUCAUGUAACUCUGGCUGGCGUGGAGCUCAAACACCUUCUAAUCCUUGGAUACACAGCCUUGAGCUUCAGAACGAGCGUGUCUGGUAUACGUGUUCCUUCCACAUACCAGCUACCCUUGGAGAGCACUCAGGUCCGCCAAUUGGGUCCAUUUCUGCACAGCCCUAAAAAUACUUCUUGUGUAAGUGAAAAAAUGAUGGUCUGAUGUCUGAAAGGAGGGCCCAAAUGUGACCACUUCCUCCUCAGAAGCCACAGCUUUAGCAUAAGAAAAAUUGUUACAAUGGUUUGGUAUCAGGUGUGUGUGUGUAUGCAUAUAUAUAUAUAUGUGUGUGUGUGUGUGUGUGUGUGUGUGUGUGUGUGUGUUUGUACAGGUAUCUCUGUCUACAUGUGUGUGCAUGUGUAUGCAUGCAUGCAUGUGUGUAUGUACACAUGUGGAAAUGUGUGUAUGCAUGUGUGUGUGCACAUGAAUGUGCAUUUGUGUGUUGCAUAUGUUAUCCAUGUGCAUGUUUACAUGCACGAGUAGCGUCUAACAUCAGCCUUCAUCCUGAUGAAAGAGCAAACAUGAAGCACUAAAGUGUUGAAGAGGAAAAUUGGGGAAAUCCAAAUGCAAGAAGGUAAGUUUGAUAAUAAAUAUGAAUCAAUUCUCCACUCCCCCAAAAAGAUGAGGUUUAGGUCUGGAAUAAGUGCAGUACUUGUUCCAAAAGAUGUAAGACCAAACAGCCAAUGUGCCUUAUUUUCUCUAUGUAGAUAUUUAUGAAGUUUACAUUUGAUCUUACUUAUUCAUUUUUCUGCUCAGUUAUAAAGCCUUAUAAUGCACAAGAAGUUUCUUUAAAACAUGCUAAUGAGGAGUAAGUUUAUUAGUUUUCUGGUUUUUAGUUCCCCAUGUGGCCCUGUAUUUUUACAGUGAGGAUCAUCAUCAUUGCAAUUAUACUGAAUACCCUUGAAUUAUUCAACAACACACCAAGAACACUCCAGGAUAGGGAGAAGGACAUGAGCUUAGUAAUAUAAGGAUGAUGAAAAGUAGCUACAAAGUACAGACUAUGCUACAUAGGAGUCUUGAUCAUAGUUCUUAAUUCCUCAAAAUAAUUAAUUCAAGCAGGGAGGGACACUGACAUAUGACAUGACACCCACACUCUUUUCCAUUUGUUGUAGUUAUCAAUAUAUCACAGACAAUUAUUGUAAUGUUUGGAAAUGUAUCCACUCAUUCACAUCUCUAAGCAUCCAUCCACUUUCUCACUCAUUCUAUCAUCUACCUAGUUAUGACUUUAGCUAUCUACUCACCCUUCAAUCCAGUCACUAUGUAUCUAAACACCCAUACUUUUAUCCACCAGCCACCUAUCUUUCUAUACUUUUCCCCUAGCUCCCCUGUCAGCUGUCCAUAUAUCUAUAUAUCUAUCCAUUCAAUAAACUUUGAUUAUAUGUAUGAUAAAUAUCAAGUACUCAGGUGGCAAAAGGCAAAGGGGCCAGUGAAGUGGUAUAGUAUGUGAAAAUACUUAGUGUGCAAACCCAAGUUCAGCCCCUGGAACAAGUUGUUCUCUGAUCUCCACAUUUGUGUUGUGGCUUGGGUCCCAUUCCCCUCGUGCGUAUGAACAUACAAUAAACACCACUAAUAAAAAAAAACCUUAGAAAUCAUGUAAAUCUUUAACAACAACAACAACAACAGCAGGAAAAGCAAAUGAGAUGAGUGAAUCGAAGAAAAACAAACUUAAGAAGAACAAUGAAGGAGGCAGUGGGAUUUUGAUCCCCAUUUUUUGGCUGAAAUAAGAUUUGCCUAAUUUGCAUUGCAUUUCAUUGCUUCAUAGACCAUGAGCCAGCACUGGGAUGUCAGAAUGGGCCCCAAUUGCAGGCCACUGGGCUAAUGAGCAAGCCCAGCAGUCUGUCCUGACUUAAGGGCAGCUGUGGCUACCAUGGAUAUGGUAUUCAGCCAUUUCUACUGCUUUUAGUUGCAUGGCAUGGUCAGUGCCCAUCAGUCUGCUCUACACAUCUUUUUCUCAGAUGAUGGCAGAGUAUAUGUAGUCCUUUAGAUGUCAUUUGGGGGCUGGAAAGAUGGCUCAGCAGCUAAGAACACUUGCUGCUCAUGCAGGGGACUGGAGUUUAUCUCCCAAUACCCAAGUUGUAUGGUUUACAACUGUCUGAAACUCAAGCUCCAGGGUACAUUUAAUGCCUCUAACCUUGGUGGUCACCUGAACUCAUGUGCAUAUUCCCACAUACAAGCAUGCAUAUACUACACAUAGUUCAAAAUAAAAUACAACUUAAAAUGAACUUAUUUAAAGAACAUGAUUAGGAGAGCUACUCAAAACUGAAAUAAAAAUGUCACAAGGUGCUGAAAUAAAAGUGUCACAAAUGCAAGCUAGUUUGUGUAGUGGCAACUUGGCAGAUGGCAUACAUAGGAAGUGGUGGUCUAGGCAAUGUGGUGUUCAUGGUGACUGGUAAGUUCCUUCUUACCAGGAAUGUUUCUAUUUCAAAACCAAAGGCAUGAGUAGGAAGUGCAAGACUGGAAUUUAAGUGUGAUAUUGAAGACCUAAUAGGCAACCAAGAAAAUAUGACCAUAAGAUGAUACACAUUCACAUAUUCUGGUGUAGGUGGGAUUUUCUUCACACAGGACACCUGGGUUUACUCAACAGCAUUCCCUAUCAGCAUCCCAAAAGGCAUCCACUUACUUAAUGGCAAUUUAUUGGGUUCUUGAUCAUCCAAAGCACCUUGAAUAAGCAGAGAUGAAGUAAAAGGAGAACAGAAGUUAGAUUCUGCCUUUGGGAAGUUUGAAAUGUCAGUGGAAUUGUGACACGUAAUACAUAGUAGGGAAACUAAGCAAGACCAUGCAAGGUCAAUGCUGACCACAGUAGGGCAGAAACAACUGCCACUGAGUCAGUGGAGGGGAGCUCAAUGAUGCUCGUGUGGUAUCUCCUCUGUAUGGGGGACUCCAAAUAUGAUAUCUCUGGGUAUAACAGAUGAACAAAAUCUUAGGAAAGGCCAGUCUCUCAGAACGUGCUUCACCAUCUAGGUCUUGCCACCUCUGGUGUUGAAUUCACUGCUUUCGUACCUUCACACAACUCAGCCCUGAGAAUGACUUAGCCCAGACAAGCACACUUUGCCUUCUACCUUGCCAAAUGUGGAGCAGAGGUAAAGCAGAGCUGUGUGGGAUAAGCAUGAAGACACAAGUUUUCUCAAGAAAGAAAGUCAGAGUUAUCCCUUCCAGUUAAAUAGACCUCAUGCUUCUCCUUUCAAAUGUCAAUUUCUCUCAGCUCACCCAGACAUUUCUUGGAUGUCUUCCAUGUUCCCACACAUUAUCCUAGGUUCUGAGAGCCUGAUGGAGACAGAGAAAGGUGGGGUCCAUCUUCUUCCCUCCCCCAGCAUAGUGGCAGGCCUCCCACAACAGCUUUUUCCCAGAGUCAUACAACAAGUCCUCCACAUAAGUCAUGAAUGGAUGGACUGCUGGAAAAAUGAACACAUGAGAGAAUGUUUUGAAAUCCAAACACAGGGAUGUUAUGGCAAUUUCCAUGUAACUGUAGAAGACUCUAUUACUGAAUUCUGUGACUAACACUCAAAAACUUGGCACCACAAGGUUUCCUAAAUCCACACUUAAUAAAUGAUUGUAUAUUUGAUAUUCUUUCUUUACUUUAUUACUGUCCUUAUAUUUUGCUUGGUUUUCUUCAAAAAGAGCAUGAAAUUUCUAUUAGCAUCAACACUCAUGAGCCAAGGAAUCUGGACCUAUUCCUAGCAGCUCUGUACCAGAACCAAGGCCACGUCUUAUGAAAGGUGUGCAUCUUGGCUCCUUGCAUGAUCCAUGCCAAAUUCUCUUCUACCCAGGCCUUUGCUCUUCCCAGCUCUAUUUCAGAGCACAUCAAGAUUGAACGAUUAGACAAAAGCUGAAAUCACAAAGUUGUGUUGUAAUGGCCUUAGACUUGGUCUUCUGGGUAUGGGGAGGUGGUGGGUUUGCUAAAGUACUGGCUGUACAAGCAUGAAGAUCCAAGUUGAAUCCUCAGAACCCACCCAUAUAUAAAGCUAGGCAUGGCAGCACACACCUGUAAUUCAAACAUGGAAAUGAAUGGAUCCCUAGGGCUCUCUGGCUAAUGUGUCUAGCCUAAGAACCUAAGGCCAGUGACAGAUCCUGGCUCAAAAACAAACUGGAAAGCUCCUGAAUGAUGCCACUAGAGGUUGAUGCCUGACUUCCAUAUGUUUGCACAUCUGUAUACAUACAACCCCACUCCACCUUGAUUUUCUUAAGCUGGUAUCCUCCAGAUGAGCACACUGACCCACCACAGGCUUCAGUCUUUUGAAUACUACACAAAAAUUGCCUCAUGGUUUUAAAAUGGUACAAAGCUUAUUAUAAUUAUGGCUCAAGUUUCACACUUAAGCACUUGUUAUUGGGUUGCUCUUCUAAUGUUCAUUUAUUUAGAUUUAGGUGUCCCAGUUAUUCUUAACCACUAAGACCCCUCCUCCACUCUGUUCUGACCUUUUCUCUUUCCUAGACUGUCUCACUAGACUCACUCAAGAGUCACAAUUAUGUUAGAGAAAACUCAGUCCUUGCUCAUACUUAAUGGGGAUGUAGCUCUUCUCUCUUCUAGGUCAUGAAACAGACUUUGACUAUAAAAAUAAAGGCAUCAAUAUAGAUCAAGCAUCCCUAAUCUUAAAAUCAAACUGGCCCCAAAACCUGAAUCUCUGAGAACUGAACUAACAACACAGGGAGAAACUCAAACACCCGGCCUCUUGUCAAGAUGUGUGGGCUCUAAACACACGGUGGUAUAACGUUGCUUUACACUCUGCUCAUGAGGGAUAUGUGAAACAUUAAAUGGGUUUUGUGUUUAGACCUGGGUUUCACUCUCAAAUACCUGCACAAUGUGUGCAAGUUACAAGAUAGAAAUUGAUAAAGGCAAACCAGUUCUGCUCCUGAACACUUUCCAUAUUGUAAAAUCAUUUUGAAUGAUGUCACACAAUGAACUUAUUAUCAGAUUAUAAACUGAAUUUUAGUUUAAAAGGUCAGGCUGUCCCUUGACAUCCCGGUGAAAUGACCACUGGGAGCCUUACAGAGGCAGGUGACAGCUUCCUCUUUCAACUGAACAACACUCCUAUUUGCUUUAGUCAGGGUUGCUGGGUGUCUUCGUUAAGGUUUCUAUUGUUGUGAUAAGACACAUAAGCAAAAGCAAUUCAGGAAGCAAAGGGUCUAUUCAUCCUAUAAUUAUAAUCCAUCAGUGAGCGAUGUCAGGUAGGAACCUGGAGGCAGGAGACAAUGGAGGAGUGCUGCUUACUGGCUUGCUCACCCUAGCUUGCUCAGCCUCUUUUAUCAUAGCACCUUGGAUUACUUGCCCAGGGGGUGGCACCACCCACAGUGCAAUGGGACUUUCCACAUCAAUUAUCAAUCAAGAAAAUGUACCAUAGGCUUGCCCACAAGCCAAUCUUGUGGAGGCAUUUUUAUUAAUUGAGGUUCUGUCUUCCAAAAUGACUAUCCUGUAUUGUUGAGACUAGGCACACUGGGAAUCUAAAUUGUUGAAUGUUUGUUAACAUCUUUCUUUCUUUCUUUCUUCCUUUCUUUCUUUCUGGUUUGUUUUAAAGUAAGUGAGCAGCAAUUCUACACAGAAAGGCAUCGGUAUAGAUCAAGUGUUCUUAAUCUUAAAAUCAAAUUGGUUGUCACAUGCUUUGUGUGGGCUCUUCAUGGGGAAAUAAUAGUUAGAAGAUUUCCCACAAAUAGAACUAGGCGUUCAGAAUUGCCUUCAGAGGACAGUAUCAAGGACUAUGAAAUGUCUGGAAUGGAAUGCCAUCAAUGAAGACAGUAAUGACUUCACUCUGUGGAGAGCAAGGCUCUUGGCCCAGUUAUGAAGGAACUCUGGUGGGGAUAAUGUCAAAGAUACUCAACAACUAACCAGAGAACAAACUAGGUGUCUGUCAAUGUCCCGUGUUAUUUGGAAGUUCAAUGACACUUUAGAUAAAGGUCCACCUAGACUGGCUUUGUCACUGGGAAUCACUAACCCCUACAUGGAAGGUUUCUUCCUAUAUAGGCUGACUCAAGCUGAAAAGUUGAGCACUAUAUGGCUCUGCUCUGUGCUCCUGGGAUCCCCCAAGAGUGAUGGUAAGCAGGCACCAGGCAGGUCUGCACAAGGAAACAGCUCUCUUUUCCAACAGGACACUGCCCAAGGCUCAGCUGCCAAGGUCCUUCAUGCUGCCACUCCCAAAGGGCAGCAAGAUGCUAUUAAUGUACUUAGCAAGCGUCACCUUGGAGGGUAUCAGUUACAUACUGUACGGAAGAGGCAGUGAGCAUCUCAUUGCAGAGCAACCAUGUGGAGCACCCCGACUGAAGCCCUCCAGCUCCACACCAGGCCAGCUCCAUGCCAGGCUGGCAGUGUCCUCCAUGUAGAGGUAAGCUUGCACCAGAUGGAAUGCUUCCCUGUGUCUCUGCCCUGAGGAAGAUGUUGGAGCCUCAUGGUCAUAGCAACAAACUCCAUUUAUUCUUUUGUUCAGGGUUGUGGUUCCAGGAGAGGAGAUGAGUGGGGAACUAGGAAAGACCAUUUGUUGGUUUUCCUAGCAGAUGUAGGGCUGGAUGGCUGCUGAAUAUACAGGAGUCACAAAGACUGGGAAAGCAGACAUUGAGGAGGGCAAGUACUUUGGGAUAGGAUCAGGUGCCAGAAGGUAGACAGUGGAGCAGACCAGUGGCAGAGAUGGAGGCUCAAAGGAGCAGAAUGUCCUGGGCAUAGACAGGAGAGAGCUUUCUCAAUAAGUAAGUCAUGCAAUGCAUUCGCUUUCCUUUGAACUGCAAAGAAGCUCUGGUAAACAUGUUCUUUAUUCUAGGUGUGUGGAGAAUGAGCCCCAGUGAGUAAACAUACUUUCCAUACAGCUCCAUACAGUGAGCUGGUGUGGAUAAAUCAAUUUCUGAUCUUAGAUCUGAGAGUGUGUAGUUUUCCUAGGGCUCCGCUGGCUUUGUUCCUGCCUGUGCUCAUUCAGUGGGUAACAUAGUAAUUUCUCUCUUCCUCUAUCCUAAUGCUUAAGCGGUAGUUACAUGGAGAAAUCUUUGCAUAUGGGUGCAAAGAUUUUUAUACUCUUUAUGUGAUUUCAUGUAAUUUUUAUAUUUCUUUUAUAUUUUAUAGAUACUACAAAUAAUAAUUUCUGAGAAAGUGUCGAUUUGGGGAAGGAUGGUCUUAACCUGGUUUUUAUUGUUUUAUUUCUACUUUAGUUUGCUUUUUAUCAUUGUGCUAAGCAUUAUGACCAAAAACCAUUUUGAGGAGGAGAGUGUUUAGCUCAUCAUACAGCUUACAGUGCACAAAAGAAGCCAGGGCAGGAACUUGAGGCAAGAACCUGGAGACGGGAGUUGGAACAGAGGCCAUGGAGGAAUGUAGCUUAGCGGCUUACUUGGCUUGGCUUUCUCAGCCAGGUUUCUCAUGGAACUCAGUACAACCCACCAAAGGGUGCCACUACCUACAGUAGGCUGUGCCCUUCAGUAUCAGUCAAUAAUCAAGACAAUGCCCUAUAGGGUUCCCUAUGAACCAAUCUUAUGGAGGCAGUUUCUUAAUAAAGAUUUCCUCUUUCUAGGUUUGUUUCAAGUUGAUUAAAAACAACCAGCAUAACCAGGUAUGGUGGUGCAUGCCUUUAAUCCCAGCACUCAGGAGGCAGAAACAGGCGGAUUUCUGAGUUCGAGGCCAGCCUGGUCUACAAAGUGAGUUCCAGGACAGUUCCAGGAUAGAGAGAAACCCUGUUUCGAAAGACCAAAACCAACCAACCAAACAAACAAACAAACACCCCCCAAAGCCCCCAAAACUACCAGCAUAUCCACCAUAGACCACAUCCCCACGGAACUCCAUGAUACUCAGCUGUACCAGCACAUUCUAGACAUCAAAGAGGCUUUAGGGACCCUGUACAACGUCACAGUACUGCUCAGACAUAAUGAGUGUGGACACUUCCCAUCCAAACUCAUUGAGUGAAGUCACUGUAGGUCACUACCUCUGCCUGUCAUCCAGAGUUACUAUGGUAUACCAGGUAUUCUGCUAGGUACCUGAAAGGAAUCCACACAGGCCUAGCCUUGUAGUCCAGUGUUUAAAACACUUCUAUUUCUUAGCUUAUGUCUCAGGGAUCUUCAUUGGUCAAGGAAUCUUCUGUGUAUGGAAUUUUCUUUACCUUGGCUCUUUUCUUCUUAUCAUUGGGAUCAUUCUAUCAUCCAUCCACCUAUCAAUCAUCCAUCCACUAUUCAUUCAUCACUUAUUCAUCUGUCGUUCAUGGAUGCAUGCAUAGACACAUCCAUCAUCUACCUAUCCAUGUAGUAAUCCAUCAGCCAUCCAGUCCUCAAUCUAUUUGUCAUUCACUUAGCACCAAAGAAUGCAUCUCCCAUCAUCCAGCCACCAUCCAUCCCUCUACACAUGCCACUGUGAGUGCACUGUAAGCUCUAUUUCCUCAAUACAAUUUCAAGAGGUCUUCAGCCCAGAACAAGGAAACAUAGGCAAAUGUGAUGAGAGGCCUGGAGACUUGGCUCUAGGUAAAGUACCUGCCAUGAAAACUUGACUUGAUUUUAGAUUCCUAGAGCCUAUAUAAAGCCAGUUGGAGAACUUCACAUCUGUAAUAUCUGUAAUGCUUGUUUGGUGAAAGAGAAGACAGAGACACAGAGGUGGGAGAAUCUCUGGAAGCUUACAGCUCAACUAACCUGAAUUACGCAGCAGGGACCAACAAAUAGAUUCUGUUUCAAGUAAGGUGGAAGGCAAGGACCAAUACCUAAGUUACCUUUUGGCUGCCACAUGUAUGCUGUGGCAAGCAUAUGACACAUACAUAUGAAUGCACAUGCACAGAUGCACUCAUGCCACAAUCACACACACACAUACAUGAAAACACAUGUAUAGUGUAUACAUCAUACAUACACAUAUGUUAUGAUGGUUGAGGAAGGAGCCCUGGACCUACUCAAGGAAUUAACAAAGCCCCCCCCUCCCAGAUGGCAUAGAGAAGGAUCACAAUGAAGGAGGGGGGGCUCAACAAGUAAGAAAACCAAGCAGCAGGUGUUCAACUAUGGGAAUAGCACAUGGAAAGAAUGGAAGAAGGAAAGAGGACUUGCUAUUCAAGGACUGGGACAUUCCUUCAGCAUGAGACAAGGAGGCAUAUGUCACACAGUAGGGUGACAACUGAGGCAGGAAGGACAAGUUGGAUUAAGAGCACAGAAGUCUCCGAGGCUGAUAUCAACCACCCAAGUCUGGCCUUUUCUUGUAACCUACCCUGUCACCCUCAUGGCCACAGCAGGUCUACCCUCCUGCAGAUCUCACGUCUAUUGUUUUCCUGCUGACAGUGCACCAGGCGCAUGCUAAACACACACUGCUUUGUUCGUGCCACACAGUGAGUUAUGAGUAGGUGGGAUUUCAGACCCACUUUAAAGCUGAUCAAGUCAGACAGAUCAGGCUCCCUAUCCUCGGUUUAUACCUAGUGACACUGGGAUCUGUGUGUGGAAAGGGACAUGCUUUCAACCCUUACAUGCAUUUCCCGUGUGCAGUCAUGCCCUGGCUCCAUGUCUGACCUCCAAAGUAUCUACUCUUUCUCUUUUUGCUAGCUCCAGGCUAGCCUGGGCUAUGCGCCAAGAUCCUACCUCAAAAUUAAAAUUCAAAGAAAACACUCAAAUGUAAAUAAAUAAAUAUCAACAUGUGCUAUAAAUACAACUAAACAUGUAGACACAGGAAACACAACAUGGGUAGCAGCGUAUGACAACUUGUGUUUGUUUCACAUGCAAAGCCCACAGUCUGACGGCAACAGAGGAGAAAAUCUAUUUGAGUCCUGGAACUAGUGAGGUGGAUUUGAGAAGUGCACCUCUGGAUGUACCUAAAGCAAAACCGGGUUCUUGAAAGAUAUUCUGUGGAAAUAUCAGGAAGCACAAAGACUCUUCUAACGGGGAAGCAAGGACAAUGACCUUAGACACAUCUUUUACACAUGUGAGGAAGCCCAAAGGUGGGAGACGGCAAUAAAGGGGUUUAGUUGGAAAUGGGGUGAGGGAUGUAGCCCAAAAUACUUAGGGAUCAGUACAUCUCUUCCUGGAUAAUCUAAAUCCAUGAAGCAGGGAACACUGGCCCAUGAGCACCCCAGGUGCCUAUCAAGAGAAGCUAAUCAAAGCAAAGUGACUCUGGAUAUAGUAUGCUAAUUGAGGAAAUGCUACAGCCAGCCUUGGAGUGACCCAGUUUUAAAUGAUCUAAUGUCCUUGGCACUCUGGGACUUUGCCAGAAGUCACGGACACCUAAUAAGAAGUGCUCACAGAUGCUUGGGAGAAAAGGGGAAAAGAAAGAGGCUUCCUGGUGGAUCUGUGAGAGUCUGGGGAGGGACACUCAGCUUUGGGAGAUAAAGGCAAGGAUGGAAAUGGAGGGUCUGCCUAGCUGGGAAGCUGAGCCCUUGACUGGCCAACACCUAUUUAAGGAUGCAGAUCUUACACAUGGAGAAAAAUCCUCCAAUUCUUAGAGGCGCUCCGAGCCUGUGCCCCUGUAUUGGCAGGGAUCACUUUCAUUUUAUUAUGAUUUAAUUAUAAUAAAAUAAUUGUUAAUAAUAGUCUUUUGCAGCAUUUUUAUUAGGUUUGUCCUUUGUGUUUUAUACAUGUAUUGAAGUGCAUUCUCCAUGCUAUAAUCCCCACCUCUUUAAUCUCCCUCCAUCACUAUCGAGUCUCUCCUCCAUACAAGUCCCUUUCCCCAUUCAGGUCUUCUAAAUUUGUUGAGACCAGCUGGGCUUAACAGUAUCUGCUGUGUAAACACUGGUUUUGAACUACUACCCAUUGGAACCUGAUGAUGGGCUUACCCACGGGCACAUGUCUGAAGAAAAUGACUGCUCCUCUACCAGAAUUCACUAGGGACCAAUAGUUCAGCAGGGAGGGGUAGGGACCCAUAAAUCACUUCAAAUCCACCCAUGAUUGACAGUUGACAGACUCAGUCUUCUGCAGGCCCAGUGGAAGCAGCCAUAGUAGCUAUGGGGUCAUGACUACAGUGCCCGUACCACACUCAGGAGACAGCAUCUCACAGUUCUUCUCUCUGCCCUCCAGUUCUUAUAUUCUUUCAGCUCCCAUCUUCCACAGCUAUUCUUGAGCCAUAGGGACAAUGGUGGUAUAAAUGGCUGGUUUGGGACUGAACACUCAGCCAAGACUUAUUCUCAGCACCUCAAGCAGCCACCCAUCUCUGCAUUUGUGGCCUGCAAAGAGAAGCUAUGACUAAGGCUAGAAGUUGUAUUCAUCUAUGGGUAUAAUUGCAAACACUUAGAAAGCAGACCAUUACUGCGUCUCUAUCAUAAUUAAAAUGGAUGCACUGAAGUGUUUCAUGCAAAUGUAAAAACAAAGUCUAAAGUCAGCUCUGAGCACUUCUUCCAAUCAAAUUAACAAGUGAAACAUAAAAUGAGUUCUAAGUCCCUGAAUCUCCACAAGCAAUAUUAACUCAACCUUGUAGACAACAUUAAGACAAGAUGGUUCAUCUCAGAUGUCAUUGUAGAAAAGUGGCACUCUCCAUCUUAUUCAUCUGUAUUUUAACUCUGAGGACGCCCUUGUGCACUGGUUUAAGGUUUGAGUAUAUUGUUUAAGCUUCACAUGUCUGAACAGGGGGAGCAGACUCACAGGCACCCCCAAUCACAUCAGGAAUAAGUCUUUGAAUGCAUACAUCAAUGAGGAAGGAUGUGACAAAUGUGGAUUUGAAGCCGAGGCAGGAUUAAAAGAUUAGUUGGAGAUCAGACUUAAGAAUUUUUCUCACUUAUAAGUAGAAUCUAAGACAAUCAAAAGCAACUCAGAAGUGGUUACCAAGGGCUAGGAGAGAAGGGUUGAGAAGGUCUUGACCGAAUACAGGAAUAGGUCAAGAUAUUUAAUAUAGGACAUGAUGAUAGCUAACAACAAAGUUUGGUAAUUUUGAAAAUUACUGAGAGAUCACAAGGGUUUCACCAGACACACACACACACACACACACACACACACACACACACACACACACAUAUAUUUGAGAACUACAUAUGACAUAUACAUGUAAUUUUUAUUUGCCAAUGAAAAUCCAUUUUAAAAAUCUUUACUAAUUAUAUAGUAAUUGUAAAUCUCAUCAAGCUCCCAGGGAAUACUUUUUCUCUCUCUCUUACUACUCUAUUUAGUUUUAAGCUCCUAGGAACUGAUAUUUCAAAGAGCCACCAAGAUGUUAAGCAUAAAUUAAGUAAAAUGCAAGACCAGGGUAAGAAGCUUGUCAUGAUUCAUGCAUGCAUGCUUUUAAAGUUAGCCAGGGUGCUGUCUAACAAACUUGCCUAGGGCUCACUAGGCUGGGUGGAGCAGGGUCAGGGUAGGGAGGCUUGAUUGGGGUAAACAGAAGACAGCCACUCAUGUGCUGUCUGGCCCAGCGUUUGUGCUACACUAGCAGAAUGGAGUCAGUGUGACAGAGGCAGUCGGGCUAAGAUACUCAGUGCCUGCUCUUUUGUAGACUCUCAUCCUAGGGGUGCUAUAUGGUUUGAUUUACAAUUUGCCUUUGAUUACUGACCCCAUUCAGUGCAAUUAAAGGUUAACUUGUAGAAGACUGAUAAACUGAAGCAAUUCUGUUGGCUAGAGAUGAUAAACCUUGAAGUAUAAGUUUUAUUGGCCUGAAGGACAUUAACCAGUUUUGUACCUAAGUCAGCAUUUUUAUUUUAUCAUUUUUUUUCCUUUCAGCCAGUAUCAGCUUGGCCAAGACCCUAAUUAAUGUGAUGUCUAAACCUUUGAUAGAUGCUCACUGCCUGUGUAUGUUGAGAGUCAUGUCUUUAACUUUCCAGACUCUCUGCUUUGAUAUAAAUUACUUGCAUUUGGCCAAUGAGUAUAUGAGCAUUUCAGAAUGGCCCUCAGAGCCCUUUCAGUGGAAGUACUGUGUGAGGGUAGGAGGUGGGAGAGCUCAGGUUGGUAGAGUGGUAGAAGGCAACUCAAUUUGGACAGCUGUAACACACCGGAGACGUAUAACAGACAUAGGGAAAUAUAUGAUUUCCCAGUCACAAGACUGAGCAGGACAGAAGCAGAGGGUUUCAUUCAUUGGUGAACAUUUGUGAUUUAUGCCUGAUAGGAAGGAGGGGGCAGACUGAAACCAGGAGCUUAAAGUAGAACCUAAGAAGUCAGAGAGGAACAAGGGACAGUCUCAGGGAUACGUUUAUGAGGUGGGAUGAUAGCACACCUCAAGAGCAGAGGUGAGCACGGGAAAGGAUUUAGGGUGUGGCAUGAAGAACCUGGGUCACUAUAUAGGAGACCUACACAUCAUUACUGAUCAGCCAAUAGUUAAGGAGCUUGGGCAUUUGAUCAUUCACUUUGAAAAUAUAUGUUUAGUAUGGAGAGAUAGCCAGGGAGAUUAGAACACUUUCUUUGAAAGCAGGAAGGACAGAUUUCAGAUCCUAUCACUGAUAUAAGUUGGGCACAGUCUUUGCACACGGGUAACCCACUCCCUCUGUGCCCCCAAAUCCACCCCCAUACAGAGCAGGGUGGGGACAGGAGGAUCAUGGUGUGGGGGGGAAUCUCUGUCAGUCUAGCUGAAUAACCUGAGCUGUAGGUUCAGUAGGAGAUCAUGUCUCAAAGAAAGAAGGCAGAGAGUGAUAGAGAGGAAUACCGGAUACCCUCUUCUGGGUUUUGCACGUGUGACAUAUCACACACACACACACACACACACACACACACACACACACACACACACUCCCCACCUCUUAACACAAGCGUUGUGUUUUUAAAGUAAGUACAUCUUCACCACCCACUUAGGCAUGAUUCUAGGUGUAGAGAUCUGGUAGUGAACACACGAGACAGCUGUCCAUGGUAUUUUGGAGGAUUUUAUGACAAAUACUAGAGUAAAAGAAGUAUGGGUCAUGAACAGAGGUGGUGCAGGAGGGUUGCCACUUCAUGAACCUUCUCCAACAAAGUCAUAUGUGUGUGUCUAGAGAUCAAGGGAACUAGGUCACUUGUGAGGACAUCUCAGACAAAUCCUUGAGCUAGCUCUGAAGGCACUUGGAAGUUUGAGCAGAGGUUGGUGAGAAAAGAUCCAGACUUCACAGAGAUUCCAUCAUAGGUCAUGAGAGUUGCCUGAUGGUCCAGGCAAGUGGAUGAUGGUGUCUUGGAGAAGGGGGGGUUGAUGAUCUAGAGGAUGGAAGAUGAUGAUUUUAUCUGAGACCAGAGAAGGUAUGGUACCAGGGGAUGUGGCCAGGUGCAAGUCCUGAAGAUGUAAAAGCUGAUCCUUAGGAUUCACUGAUGGGGUAGGGAGGUCUUUCUAUCAUGGCGAUGGAAAUGUCAAGGGGGUUCACAGGGUUAGGAGCCUGGGAGACCCCUCACCCAAUUUACAGAUCAAGGGGUAAAAGGCAGGGAGGAGGAGGCUCCUCAGGGAGAGUAUACUGAAGUUAUGCCCUAGAACACUCCCCAUUGGAGUCAUGAGGGGAAAGGGAGACUAGUGGGACUCUAGAGAACAAUCAGUGGGGUGGGGUUGGGGUGGAUCAGGAAGCCAUAAUCCUAUGGUGGGAUGAGAGUCUCUCUGAAGUGUGGUUAAGGGAGGUCACAGCCCAGCUUAGGCUUAAAUGUCAUCAGAGCACAAAUAAGAGCUGUUCCGGAAGAAUGUGAAAAGGAAGGAUGGCGGGAAAGGGAGGAUACAGGAGGGGCCAAGAACUGACUGGCUAUGAACUGGAGUGAUUUAUGAGUGUACAUGAAGGGCAGGAAGGCCCACUUGUGACAUCAAGGGACUUUAGAGCAGCUCUGUGCUGCUAGGAGUGGUAGGAAGAACAUGGCAGGGUAGGGGGAGUAGGACACCUUCACAGGCUUGAGUGCUCCUGAGGUGGGUAGACAUUUUGAAAGCUCUGAGUCUCUACCAUGUUUAAGGUAACCUCCAAAGCACAGACUGGGAGGGGGAAAAAGAGUUACAAUAGGGGGCUUCAUCACUCUUGCAUGAAUGUUUAUUUAGAAUGAGCAUCACUGGAGCUGAAGAGACAAUCCAGAUGGUAAGAGCAAUUGUCAUGCAAUUGUGAGGAGUCCUAUCAAGCAUAUACAGGACCUGAUUCCUUAUUUUGGCCCCUGCACAUGGAUAGGUGUGUGCACCUGCAUGUGUAAACACACACACACACACACACACACACACACACACACACACACACACAAUCAUACCUCUAAUCCCCAAAACAAAUAACAAAAUAAGCAUUCAUCAAAUCAUGAGAAGUGAUGAUGCAAGCAAGGCUUUCUUUGAAUCAGGAUGAUGGCCUUGCCAAGUAGACCUCCUCAGUUAGCUCUUUGUCCCUCCCUGGUAGGUCCCACUCAUGAGUCUGAGAGGUAAGGCACUGUUGCCAGGUACCAUGUGAUUUCCCAUAUCCACAGACACUUUUUAAAAGACACAAUUUCAACUGUGGCAAAGGAGAAGUCACACUAUCUGGAGAGAAGUCUAAUCAAGUGUCAGAUGACAGAAUUUAUAUGCCAGGGGAAGGGGUAGGGUCCACCAGCCAGUUCUCCCUCUCUCCCACAUUCGAGGGCUGUUCCUAGUCCCUGAAAGGAGCCAUCAGACAAGGCCAGAUGUUCUGGGGGGUGGGGGGUGCGUGUCACCAACUCUUGAGGCAAAAGAUCAGGCAUCUGCUUUGUGGAGGCAAAUGGUGGGGCUGGGGCAAGCACAGUCCCUGGCUGAAUGCAAAUCCUGUCACUUCUAUUCCUGGGUCUGAAGACAGAGGUCUCUUCACAUCCUACAGCAGGUUGUGGGUACUGUGUGUCUGCCUGGCUUUCAUCGUGGGGUCUACUACCUGGCAUCCAUCCUCACAAAGCAAAUGAGCAACCCAUUGGAAACAAACUCAGCCCCAUCUCAAGCAGGUCAUCGCCCCUCAGCCUAACCAAUGGAGGUUUGGUUUGGGAGAUUCUCUGGAAGAUUCUGGCUGAGUGUAAAAAAAAGUUGAUUGGACACAGAUAACAAGAAUGAGCAUGCUCAGGGGUGGUGGUCGCCCAACCUAAUGCCACAGAGAGAAGCAGAGCUAAAGUUCAGGCUCAUCGGCAGAACCCACAUGGUAGAGGGCAAGAACUGACUCCCACCAGGCAUGAAAUGCACUCUGCUACAAUGGAAGUCUCAUCAUCACUUAACUGUCUCAGGACUCAAGUGGCUUCAGGUUGUACAAGGUCCCCAAAUUACCCCAGGUUCACAGAAUUCUGCCUUGAACUUCUAUUAAAGUUCCAAUUGAGAGCUGAUCCUCGGGCUGCUGCAGAGAAAACUGUGUCUCUCUAUUUGAGACACGUGCCUUCAUUUGCCAUUGGUGGGGUAGGUAGGCUACAGAAGACAUGGACUCUAAGUUCUCAUGAGCUUCCUCUAAGGAAGCAUCUUUCAUGAAAAUUAGGGUGGCCAAAAAUGCACUAUGUUGAUUAAGUGAAGAGAAAAAAGAUGCACAGUAAUAGAGAUGGGGUGGGGCUUGUUACUGAGGCAGGGGCCACGUAGAAUUUCCAUUUCAAAAUUCAAGGUUUUUUAUUUGUUUGUUUGUUUGUUUUUAACUUUGAAACUAAACAAGAAUGUGGAUUUCACGUAACUUAUGGGCAUCAUAUUAGUGUCUUUUCUUUUGAAAGAAGGAACUAGAAAGCAUUGUUUAUUUAAUAUGCAUAUUAAUAAGCCAUAUGCCUCCUUUCCAGCAUCUAAUAUGCAGAAGGAUUACAUUGUGAGGGAGAAAAAUACCUUGGUUCAAUUGUAACAAAAAUAAU